GAUGAAGAACGCAGCGAAAUGCGAUACGUAAUGUGAAUUGCAGAAUUCAGUGAAUCAUCGAGUCUUUGAACGCACAUUGCGCCCUCUGGUAUUCCGGAGGGCAUGCCUGUCCGAGCGUCAUUGCUGCCCCUCAAGCACGGCUUGUGUGUUGGGCCCCGCCCCCCGAUCCCGGGGGGCGGGCCCGAAAGGCAGCGGCGGCACCGCGUCCGGUCCUCGAGCGUAUGGGGCUUUGUCACCCGCUCUGUAGGCCCGGCCGGCGCUUGCCGAUCAACCAAACUUUUUUCCAGGUUGACCUCGGAUCAGGUAGGGAUACCCGCUGAACUUAAGCAUAUCAAUAAGCGGAGGA
rnacentral:misc_RNA from 1 species